rnacentral:rRNA from 1 species
UGCGUAGGGUGCAAGCGUUGUCCGGAAUUAUUGGGCGUAAAGAGCUCGUAGGCGGUUUGUCGCGUCGAAUGUGAAAACCCGGGGCUCAACCCCGGGCCUGCAUUCGAUACUGCGUGGCUAGAGGUAGGUAGGGGAGAUCGGAAUUCCUGGUGUAGCGGUGAAAUGCGCAGAUAUCAGGAGGAACACCGGUGGCGAAGGCGGAUCUCUGGGCCUUACCUGACGCUCAGGCACGAAAGCUAGGGGAGCGAACAGG